rnacentral:rRNA from 1 species
AUUGAACGCUGGCGGCAUGCUUUACACAUGCAAGUCGAACGGCAGCACGGGGGCAACCCUGGCGGCGAGCGGCGAACGGGUGAGUAACAUAUCGGAACGUACCCAGUCGUGGGGGAUAACUAUCCGAAAGGAUAGCUAAUACCGCAUACGUCCUGAGGGAGAAAGCGGGGGAUCGCAAGACCUCGCGCGAUUGGAGCGGCCGAUAUCGGAUUAGCUAGUUGGUGGGGUAAAGGCUCACCAAGGCGACGAUCCGUAGCGGGUCUGAGAGGACGACCCGCCACACUGGAACUGAGACACGGUCCAGACUCCUACGGGAGGCAGCAGUGAGGAAUAUUGCGCAAUGGAGGCAACUCUGACGCAGCCAUGCCGCGUGCAGGAAGAAGGCGCUACGCGUUGUAAACUGCUUUUAACCGGGAAGAAACCCCAGGACGUGUCCUGGGUUGACGGUACCGGAGGAAUAAGCACCGGCUAACUUCGUGCCAGCAGCCGCGGUAAAGUGUG